rnacentral:rRNA from 1 species
CACGUAGUUAGCCGGGGCUUCUUAGUCAGGUACCGUCCAAAGUCCAAAGGACUUUUUUUCUUCCCUGCUGAUAGAGCUUUACGUACCGAAAUACUUCUUCACUCACGCGGCGUCGCUGCAUCAGGGUUUCCCCCAUUGUGCAAUAUUCCCCACUGCUGCCUCCCGUAGGAGUUUGGGCCGUGUCUCAGUCCCAAUGUGGCCGUUCACCCUCUCAGGCCGGCUACUGAUCGUCGCUUUGGUGGGCCGUUACCCCGCCAACUGGCUAAUCAGACGCGGAUCCAUCGUAUACCACCGGAGUUUUUCACACUGUUCCAUGCGGAACCGUGCGCUUAUGCGGUAUUAGCACCUAUUUCUAAGUGUUAUCCCCCUGUAUACGGCAGGUUAUCCACGCGUUACUCACCCGUCCGCCACUAAUCCAUACAUCACUAGGUUUCAAUAUGGAUCCGUUCGACUUGCAUGUGUUAGGCACGCCGCCAGCGUUCAUCCUGAGCCAGGAUCAAACUCU